GGAGCUCUCAAUCAUGUAGACUGCACAACGAUACUCCAACCAACCCAGGACCAUGGAGAAAUUGGGAAACAGGUUGCAUCUCAUUCUUCUAAACUCCAGAGGAUACGAGUCCAGGUUGUUCGAAUCAGACAACCAGCUCACUCCAAUUAUUAAGUGGCCAUGGGAUUGUUGUUGUUCAUUGGAGAGAUCGGACAGAACUAUGGAUUAGAGCGAGGACAGCGUGCAUGACACUGAACUGCCCUGGAGCUGGAGUUGGCCUGGAUUUCACAUUCAACUCUCUGCAGCAGAGCUUGAACCCUUGACCCGAGUCAGAGCCGAGAGUCAUGAGCCAUCAGCAACAUUUGAGAGGUGGCAAACGAAGGGGGAAAGAAAGCGGGACUGUGGUCAGGGAGCACAAGAAAGUGCGAGAGUCACUCGCGUGACCCCGCACUCCCCCCUUGCCUGCAGUCACUGUCUUAAUGCGACACAUGGCUUGUCCACAGGGAUCUCUCUAGGCCAGCGGCUGAAUUUAACACCACUAAAGAGGAGAACAAUGGGGCAGUUGCUUUAAACAUGAGACUGCUGUUUAACACAGAGCUGUAGACACAGCCUCCCUGCUGAACACCAGAUGCUUCUGAACGCCUUGUUCCACAAAAUUCAAAGUAU